rnacentral:rRNA from 1 species
UACGUAGGUGGCAAGCGUUGUCCGGAUUUAUUGGGUUUAAAGGGUGCGUAGGUGGUCAAUUAAGUCAGUGCUGAAAUAUCCUGGCUUAACCGGGAGGGUGGCAUUGAUACUGAUUGACUUGAGUAGAGUUGAGGUAGGCGGAAUUGACGGUGUAGCGGUGAAAUGCUUAGAUAUCGUCAAGAACACCGAUAGCGAAGGCAGCUUACUAAGCUCAAACUGACACUGAUGCACGAAAGUGUGGGGAGCAAACAGG